rnacentral:rRNA from 1 species
UACGUAGGGGGCAAGCGUUAUCCGGAUUUACUGGGUGUAAAGGGAGCGUAGACGGUUAUGCAAGUCAGAAGUGAAAGCCCAAAGCUCAACUUCGGGACUGCUUUUGAAACUGUGUAACUAGAGUGCAGGAGGGGUAAGCGGAAUUCCUAGUGUAGCGAUGAAAUGCGUAGAUAUUAGGAGGAACACCGGCGGCGAAGGCGGCUUACUGGACUGUAACUGACGUUGAGGCUCGAAAGCGUGGGGAGCAAACAGG